AUACGGAGGAUGCGAGCGUUAUCCGGAUUUAUUGGGUUUAAAGGGUGCGCAGGAGGCAUGUCAAGUCAGAGGUCAAAAUUCGGUGCUCAACGCCGUACCGCCGUUGAAACUGGCGCGCUGGAGUGCGUGCGAUGGUGGCGGAAUGCGCGGUGUAGCGGUGAAAUGCAUAGAUAUCGCGCAGAACCCCGAUUGCGAAGGCAGCUGCCAAGCACGUUACUGACACUCAUGCACGAUAGCGUGUGUAUCGAACAGGAGUAGAUACCCUGGUAGUCCACGCGGUAAACGAUGAUAACUAGUUAUACGUGGAGAUUAGGCCUUGGGUGACCGAGCGAAAGCGUUAAGUUGUCCACCUGGGGAGUACGCCGGCAACGUUGAAACUCAAAUGAAUUGACGGGG
rnacentral:rRNA from 1 species